GCACCUAUGGCGGAAUUGGUAGACGUGCUACCUUGAGGGGGUAGUGUCCUUAUGGACGUGCUGGUUCGAGUCCAGUUGGGUGCA
rnacentral:tRNA from 1 species